CAAAAAUGACAGUGAGCAUCACAGGACAUGAACUAAGACCAGAGUGGGCCAUCAUCCCAAGUCUGGUGGUGAGCACCAGUGGCCUCUGCUUUCAAGACUUGUUUCCCCGGAUACUAAAGGAAAGGUUUCCUGUAAUCUUUUUUAGUUUUUUCUCUUUUAUCUCAUUCUGAUUCAUCUGCACUUACCAGCUCACGCCAAGACUCUCCAACAAGGAGUAAAAAAAAAAAAAAAAAAGAGAAAGAAAGAAAAAGUGAGGUUGGUUUUGAUUUGGCUUCCCCUAUCUGUCCUGCAGAUGCUCUCAUUACUAGAACAGGAAACAGCAACUGAGUGAACUCCCAGCUUGGAAGAUGAAACCUGACAUGUGAACAACUGAGUUUACUGAAUGCUUAAAUUGUCAUCUGCUUCACUUCAAAGUUCAAUGUGGUUUGAAAUGAUAAAACAUGUUCUGUGCCUCCACAUAAAAAAACACAAUCAUUUCCUUGAUUUUAUGUUUUUCUUGCUUUGACAAAUGUAAUGGUUUGUGUGAACUGUGUGUAUGAGUACAGUGUGCGCUUUGACUGGAUGUAUCUUAAAGAGUAGCUUCUCUUAAGAUCUUAUAAGUGACCUGAUUUCUUCUGAAAUAGGGACUGGAGGCAUGCAUUGUACUGUACAUGGCAGGUAUUGCUAUCCUGUGAAUUGUUUAAAGAUUUAUGUUGUCCUCGUGAUCUAAAUGAAGCGAUGAAAUGCA